UCGCUAAUAUCGGGUCUAUUUGACGAAGGCUCCAAAGGAAGCCACGGCUAACUCUGUGCCAGCAGCCGCGGUAAUACAGAGGUGGCAAGCGUUGUUCGGAAUUAUUGGGCGUAAAGAGCACGUAGGUGGAUUUGUAAGUCAGAUGUGAAAGCCUUCUGUUCAACGGGAGAAUUGCAUCUGAAACUGCAGACCUUGAGUAUAGGAGGGGAGAGUGGAAC
rnacentral:rRNA from 1 species